CCUACGGGUGGCAGCAGUGAGGAAUAUUGGUCAAUGGACGAGAGUCUGAACCAGCCAAGUAGCGUGAAGGAUGACUGCCCUAUGGGUUGUAAACUUCUUUUAUAUGGGAAUAAAAUGUUCCACGUGUGGGAUUUUGUAUGUACCAUAUGAAUAAGGAUCGGCUAACUCCGUGCCAGCAGCCGCGGUAAUACGGAGGAUCCGAGCGUUAUCCGGAUUUAUUGGGUUUAAAGGGAGCGUAGGUGGAUUGUUAAGUCAGUUGUGAAAGUUUGCGGCUCAACCGUAAAAUUGCAGUUGAAACUGGCAGUCUUGAGUACAGUAGAGGUGGGCGGAAUUCGUGGUGUAGCGGUGAAAUGCUUAGAUAUCACGAAGAACUCCGAUUGCGAAGGCAGUUCACUGGACUGCAACUGACACUGAGGCUCGAAAGUGUGGGUAUCAAACAGGAUUAGAUAGCCUUGUAGUC
rnacentral:rRNA from 1 species